GCCCGGAUGGUGAAAUUGGUAUACACGCUAGCUUCAGGAGCUAGUCCGAGCAAUCGGGUGGGGGUUCAAGUCCCCCUUCGGGCA
rnacentral:tRNA from 1 species